CCUUGGCAGUCCAGGCGAUGAAGGACGUGCUAAUCUGCGAUAAGCGUCGGUAAGGUGAUAUGAACCGUUAUAACCGGCGAUUUCCGAAUGGGGAAACCCAGUGUGUUUCGACACACUAUCAUUAACUGAAUCCAUAGGUUAAUGAGGCGAACCGGGGGAACUGAAACAUCUAAGUACCCCGAGGAAAAGAAAUCAACCGAGAUUCCCCCAGUAGCGGCGAGCGAACGGGGAGCAGCCCAGAGUCUGAAUCAGUGUGUGUGUUAGUGGAAGCGUCUGGAAAGGCGCGCGAUACAGGGUGACAGCCCCGUACACAAAAAUGCACAUGCUGUGAGCUCGAUGAGUAGGGCGGGACACGUGGUAUCCUGUCUGAAUAUGGGGGGACCAUCCUCCAAGGCUAAAUACUCCUGACUGACCGAUAGUGAACCAGUACCGUGAGGGAAAGGCGAAAAGAACCCCGGCGANGGGAGUGAAAAAGAACCUGAAACCGUGUACGUACAAGCAGUGGGAGCACGCUUAGGCGUGUGACUGCGUACCUUUUGUAUAAUGGGUCAGCGACUUAUAU
rnacentral:rRNA from 1 species